rnacentral:rRNA from 1 species
UACAGAGGGUGCAAGCGUUAAUCGGAAUUACUGGGCGUAAAGCGCGCGUAGGCGGCUUGUUAAGUCGAAUGUGAAAUCCCCGGGCUCAACCUGGGAACUGCAUCCGAUACUGGCUGGCUAGAGUGUGGUAGAGGGAAGUGGAAUUCCAGGUGUAGCGGUGAAAUGCGUAGAUAUCUGGGGGAACACCAGUGGCGAAGGCGGCUCACUGGACGCAUAUUGACGCUGAGGCACGAAAGCGUGGGGAGCAAACA